AUACUUACCUGGCGGGGAGAUACCUUGAUCAUGAAGGUAGUUUUCCCAGAGUGAGGCUCAUCUAUUGCACUCCAGGUGUGCUAACCCCUGCGAUUUCACUAAAUGUAGAAAACUCAACUGCAUAAUUUAUGGCACCGGGGGACUGCGUCCCUGCUUUCCCCUG